rnacentral:rRNA from 1 species
CAGCCGCCACGGGAAUACGUAGGGUGCAAGCGUUAAUCGGAAUUACUGGGCGUAAAGCGUGCGCAGGCGGUUUUGUAAGACAGAGGUGAAAUCCCCGGGCUCAACCUGGGAACUGCCUUUGUGACUGCAAGGCUAGAGUACGGCAGAGGGGGAUGGAAUUCCGCGUGUAGCAGUGAAAUGCGUAGAUAUGCGGAGGAACACCGAUGGCGAAGGCAAUCCCCUGGGCCUGUACUGACGCUCAUGCACGAAAGCGUGGGGAGCAAACAGGAUUAGAUACCCCUGUAGUCCCUGUCUCUUAUAA